rnacentral:rRNA from 1 species
UCCGAAGGGGGCUAGCGUUGCGCGGAAUCACUGGGCGUAAAGGGUGCGUAGGCGGGUCUUUAAGGCAGGGGUGAAAUCCUGGAGCUCAACUCCAGAACUGCCUUUGAUAAUGAGGAUCUUGAGUUCGGGAGAGGUGAGUGGAACUGCGAGUGUAGAGGUGAAAUUCGUAGAUAUUCGCAAGAACACCAGUGGCGAAGGCGGCUCACUGGCCCGGUACUGACGCUGAGGUGCGAAAGCGUGGGGAGCGAACAGG